UACGGAGGGUGCAAGCGUUUAUCCGGAUUUACUGGUUUAAAGGGUGCGUAGGCGGUUCGGUAAGUCAGGUGUGAAAACUCCAGGCUCAACUUGGAGACGCCACCUGAUACUGUCGUGACUAGAGUCCGGUAGGGGAGCUGGAAUUCCUGUGUAGCGGUGAAAUGCGCAGAGUAUCAGGAGGAACACCAGCGGCGAAGGCGGUGCUCUGGGCCGGAACUGACGCUGAGGAGCGAAAGCGUGGGGAGCAACAGG
rnacentral:rRNA from 1 species